AAGAUUGCUAGCAGUAAUUUAAAAUUUAUUUCCAUUAAACAUUACAUAAACCACAAUAAAACCAUUAAGUAACAAAACGUAAUAUAUUCCUGCUUUCUCUCUCCUACACUUUGGUCCCUUUCUCCCAACUCCUUCCCACAAAAAAAAAAAAAGAAGGGACAGGAACAGCUAAUACCCCCAGAUUCACCAAAGAGAGAGAUCUUAAAGCAAAGUUUUUACCACCUC
rnacentral:lncRNA from 1 species